rnacentral:rRNA from 1 species
AUUGAACGCUGGCGGCAGGCCUAACACAUGCAAGUCGAACGGUAACAGGAAGAAGCUUGCUUCUUUGCUGACGAGUGGCGGACGGGUGAGUAAUGUCUGGGAAACUGCCUGAUGGAGGGGGAUAACUACUGGAAACGGUAGCUAAUACCGCAUAACGUCGCAAGACCAAAGAGGGGGACCUUCGGGCCUCUUGCCAUCGGAUGUGCCCAGAUGGGAUUAGCUAGUUGGUGGGGUAACGGCUCACCAAGGCGACGAACCCUAGCUGGUCUGGGAUGAUGACAGGCCACACUGGAACUGAGACACGGUCCAGACUCCUACGGGAGGCAGCAGUGGGGAAUAUUGCACAAUGGGCGCAAGCCUGAUGCAGCCAUGCCGCGUGUAUGAAGAAGGCCUUCGGGUUGUAAAGUACUUUCAGCGGGGAGGAAGGGAGUAAAGUUAAUACCUUUGCUCAUUGACGUUACCCGCAGAAGAAGCACCGGCUAACUCCGUGCCAGCCGCCGCCGUAA